rnacentral:rRNA from 1 species
UACGGGGGGGGCAAGCGUUGUUCGGAAUUACUGGGCGUAAAGGGCUCGUAGGUGGCCAACUAAGUCAGACGUGAAAUCCCUCGGCUUAACCGGGGAACUGCGUCUGAUACUGGAUGGCUUGAGUUUGGGAGAGGGACGCGGAAUUCCAGGUGUAGCGGUGAAAUGCGUAGAUAUCUGGAGGAACUCCGGUGGCGAAGGCGGCACGCUGGACCCGAUCUGACGCUGAGGCGCGAAAGCCAGGGGAGCAAACGGG